rnacentral:rRNA from 1 species
GGACGGCAGAGUAACGCGUAGGAACGUACCCCGAACUGAGGGAUAGCCCACCGAAAGGUGGAUUAAUACCGCAUAUUAUUUUCGAAUCAAAGCCUUACGGCGGUUUGGGAGCGGCCUGCGUAUGAUUAGCUUGUUGGUGAGGUAAUGGCUCACCAAGGCGACGAUCAUUAGCUGGUCUGAGAGGAUGAUCAGCCUGACUGGAACUGAGAACGGUCCAGACUCCUACGGGAGGCAGCAGUAGGGAAUUUUCCGCAAUGGGCGAGAGCCUGACGGAGCAACGCCGCGUGCAGGAGGAAUGCCUUCGGGUUGUAAACUGCUUUUAACGGGGACGAUUUUGACGGUACCCGUAGAAUAAGGAUCGGCUAAUUCCGUGCCAGCAGCCGCGGUCAUACGGAAGAUCCGAGCGUUAUCCGGAAUUACUGGGCGUAAAGAGUUGCGUAGGUGGCAUGUAAAGCGAGUAGUGAAAGACUCCGGCUCAACCGGAGGUACAUUAUUCGAACUCACAAGCUAGAGCAUAGUAGAGGUACCUGGAAUUCCUAGUGUAGGAGUGAAAUCCGUAGAUAUUAGGAGGAACACCGAUGGCGUAAGCAGGGUACUGGGCUAUUGCUGACACUAAGGCACGAAAGCGUGGGGAGCGAACGGGGAUUAGAUACCCCGGUAGUCCACGCCGUAAACGAUGCUUGCUAGCUGUUAUCAGUAUCGACCCUGAUAGUAGCGAAGCUAACGCGUUUAAGCAAGCCG